rnacentral:rRNA from 1 species
CAGUAGCCGCGGUAAUACGAAGGGGGCUAGCGUUGCCCGGAAUCACUGGGCGUAAAGGGUGCGUAGGCGGGUCUUUAAGUCAGGGGUGAAAUCCUGGAGCUCAACUCCAGAACUGCCUUUGAUACUGAAGAUCUUGAGUUCGGGAGAGGUGAGUGGAACUGCGAGUGUAGAGGUGAAAUUCGUAGAUAUUCGCAAGAACACCAGUGGCGAAGGCGGCUCACUGGCCAGAUACUGACGCUGAGGCACGAAAGCGUGGGGAGCAAACAGGAUUAGAUACCCCUGUAGUCCCUGUCUCUUAUAC